UACAGAGGUCUCAAGCGUUGUUCGGAUUCAUUGGGCGUAAAGGGUGCGUAGGCGGCGCGGUAAGUCGGAUGUGAAAUCUCGGAGCUUAACUUCGAAACUGCAUUCGAUACUGCCGUGCUUGAGGACUGGAGAGGAGACUGGAAUUUACGGUGUAGCGGUGAAAUGCGUAGAUAUCGUAAGGAAGACCAGUGGCGAAGGCGGGUCUCUGGACAGUUCCUGACGCUGAGGCACGAAGGUCAGGAGAGCAAACGGG
rnacentral:rRNA from 1 species